CGCCUGUUUAUCAAAAACAUCUUUUCUCGUUAGUUUUUGAAGUAUGGCCUGCCCACUGACUUUUAUGUUGAAGGGCCGCGGUAUUUUGACCGUGCAAAGGUAGCAUAGUCAUUAGUUCUUUAAUUGUGAUCUGGUAUGAAUGGCUUGACGAGGCAUGGGCUGUCUUAAUUUUGAAUUGUUUAUUGAAUUUGGUCUUUGAGUUAAAAUUCUUAGAUGUUUUUAUGGGACGAGAAGACCCUAUAGAGUUUGACAUUUAUUAUGGUCCUUUUCUGUUUGUGAGGGUUCACUGGGCCGUAUAGUAUGUUUUGUUGGGGUGAUGGGAGGGAUUUAUUUAACCCCUCCUUUAGGUUGUUAUAUUUAUUUAUAUUUACUUGAUCCAUUUAUUUUGAUUGUAAGAUUAAAUUACCUUAGGGAUAACAGCGUAA
rnacentral:rRNA from 1 species